CAAAGCUCAUAAACUAUAUUGCAUGUCCGGAAAUGGACAAAUAGUACAGUUGCAUGACUGAGUACAUAUGUUCCAUAGACCAAGCCCAAUAACAUAACUGUGAGGCAUCAAGAACAGAAUGCACCUUUUUUAUUCACGCCUAAUGGGAAUAAUGCCAUGAAAUCAAGAAAUCAUUGAAGCAAAUCAGAUACGAUUGAAUCUAAGCAUAUGGCGGGUCAAUUUGGUCAAACAAUUUUUUUUCCAAAACAAAGAAAAUGUAAAUGCACAUAAUUGCCCGGAAACCAAGGCCACAACCACAAAUUAAAUAAGUUGUUAGCAAAUCAAUGAUGACCCCAUAAUAUAAAUCACAAGCUCUAGUUGAAUGAUAAAAGAGUACAUAAAGAAAUUGCGUCUAAACUUCAAUAUAAUUGAGCAAUCAUCAUCAUCAUCAUCCUCCUUUAUCCCAAAACAAUUUGGCGUCCAUUAAGUAACUAGUUGGGAGGACGUGCAAUGUGCGGGAGGUGUCAAUAAAAAUACAAAAUUUAAAUUUUAACAAAUACUAUAUAUAAAGUUAUUUUUUCAAUGUAAAUGUACAUGUGUGUGUGUAUAUAUAUAUAUAUAUUUAUAUAUUAUAGUAAUAGAAUUUUAAUCAAGUUAGUACUACCAUAUAUAUGUUUAAAGAGUUCAAAUAUAAUUACCGUUCAUAUUAGUAUAUUACAUAGAUUUUUAAUUUUCUAAUACAAAACUUUUAUUGGCUACCGCCACUUGGCGCGACGCAUAAGUUCUAAAUGUUUCAGCUUUUAAGUAUUUUAUAUAGAAAUGAUGCCAAAAAGUUCAAACUUCAGAAGUGGAAACAAGAUCUUUUCACCAGCUAUAUGUCUGUGAAGCUAUCAAAAUCAGACUCUAAUGAAUUGAUAAUCCUACAAGUCCUUUCUUCCAGAUAAAUAAUGGACAUAGGUACAAAAAUUUGUUAACAAAUAAUAAUUUGAUGUUCAAGCCAUUGAUCCAGCUGCUUCUGUUGACUAUGCAGUCACAAACAAAUAAACCCAACAUUGUAAUUUUGAUCAUUUUAUGAUUUAUAAAUAAAACAACAGCACUCUUUAUGUAUUGCUGCAGUGUGUGGCUUGGUCAUAAGAUGUUCGGGUAGCUGCAGAUAACAUGGUUUGAAUUCUGCAUAUGGCAUUACUUUUCAGUGUUUUUUUCAUUGAUCAUUUCAACUUCCCGGAUGAGAUUUAUCAUUUGUCAAAAGCAUGGAGAUAUGGCGAAGCCGCAACUAGCAUGCUAGUUGGUUUUAAUGUUCAUAUCCUCAGACAGGUUUUAUGUUCUUGUCAAAGGGUGACCCAAGUGAAUGACAUACAAAAAAUUUGUUGACCUAUAUAGCAUUCAGAGACAAGCAGCACGACCACUAGAAGAGAAGGUGCAAUAGAACCCAAAUUACUUAUUACGCAGGUAAACUCUAUUCCAUCAUGAUCCAGUAGGGAGAUGAAAAUGAAAGUAGAUUUAGGAUCUUUUCAAUGAACCAAAAGGACCACCCAAGGGUUUUGCCAGCCAAUGAAAAGUCAAAAACGCUAUGCAAGGAAUCUACAUCCAUCUUAAUAACAAAACUUCAACAAAAUAUUCAAUCAUCAAAACUUCCAGAAGAAAAUUCAUGGUACAAAUCACAGGCAAAAAGGAACACAAGGGAAAAGCAUGGUUAGAAGUAAUUGAAAUUCAUAAUUAUGGUCCAAGUGUCCAACUAACACAUAAAGUGUAUUAAAUGUCUUCUAUCACCAUUUCCUAUUUACAUUGAGUUGUUAACUACAUUGACCAUAGGCAUGGACUGCAUGGGUGUGAUUCCCGUGGGUUUCCUCAUGGGGGUUUUGUUUGCUUUUGGCUUGGUUUAAUUAUCUUGUAUCCUUUUGGGUUUAUUCUUGGGGUAUGCCCCUCGUACUUUGUACAAUUUUCCUUUCUUCUAUACAAUGCUCACUCACCAAAAAAAAAAAAAAA